AUUGAACGUUGGCGGCAUGCUUAACACAUGCAAGUCGAACGGCAGCACAGUACGUAGCAAUACGUAUGGGUGGCGAGUGGCGGACGGGUGAGUAACGCGUAGGAAUCUGCCUUGAAGCGGGGGACAACCCGAGGAAACUCGGGCUAAUACCGCAUAAUAUCGAGAGGUUAAAGCUGGGGCAACCUGGCACCUCAAGAGGAGCCUGCGUACGAUUAGCUAGUUGGUAGGGUAAAGGCCUACCAAGGCGAUGAUCGUUAACUGGUCUGAGAGGAUGAUCAGUCACACUGGAACUGAGACACGGUCCAGACUCCUACGGGAGGCAGCAGUGGGGAAUAUUGGACAAUGGGGGCAACUCUGAUCCAGCAAUGCCGCGUGUGUGAAGAAGGCCUUCGGGUUGUAAAGCACUUUUGGCAGGGAGGAAGAUGUGGAGUUUAAGAGACACUACAUUUGACUGUACCUGCAGAAUAAGCACCGGCUAACUCUGUGCCAGCAGCCGCCGUAA
rnacentral:rRNA from 1 species